rnacentral:lncRNA from 1 species
CCGCUGCUUGCCGGGUCCCGGCCCGGCGACGCGCGCUCACACCCUCCUCCCGAGCCGCCCUCACGCCGAGCGCUGCGGACGGGGGCGCGCAACCUGCCGCCGGCCGGGACCCUGCGGCGAGUGCCGGAACCCGGCCGGGCGGGGCCUCCCGCGGCCCGGCCGCUUUAUUGGGUCACCGGCCUCGCCCACCGCCCUGCCAGCCGCAGCCAUCUCGGCGGGCGCGCCGCUCGCAGCCAGCGCCCCAUCCCCAGGCCUGCACGUACGUCGUCGGCGAUCCGGGGCCGGGGGCGGCUCCGAGGUCGUCGGGGCCGGGGUCCCACCUCCUCUUGGAGGAAGCGCCGCCUCCCCACCCGCCCGGGGCCCUCGCCAAGUGGCUGCUAACAAAGCCCAGGGCCCGGCUGCGGGAUGGUUGACUGACAAAGUCAUGCCUGCCUAGCCAGCUUCCUCGUGCAGCACGGUGAAGGCUGGGGCGCCGGGUUUUUACUCCCACGUCCUGCCAACUCGAGCUGACAAGGCGGGCAAUCCACCAGCGGGAGCGUUGGCAGGCCCGGGGUCAGAUCCUGAUUCAGCCAGUUAAUUGGUAGGAGUGGGGCCCAUUUGUAGAAUGAAGGUGAUAACUGCCUCGUGGGGUUAUUGGCAUUAAAUGAAGAAUGUAGGGAACCUAGCAUGGUUCUUGAUGUCUAGGAGGUGCUCGGUGAAGGGUGCCUAUGAUUCGCUUUGUCUUCUAAAUACUUUUGGCAGCACUUGAGGUGUUAAAGUCUGUAUCCCAGACUUUAUUAGUCUUGUUGUUUUACGUGACUUAAGCGAUUAGCUCAAACGCCCAAGUACAAAAUGGGGCUAAACCCAGGUUUUCCGACACGAUUCUACCUCCAUGGCUCUAUCUCCAGCUCCACCCAAGGCCUCCAAAAUGGUGUUCUCCUAAAGUGACCAACAAAACACCAAGCUGUGUCAUGGUGCCACUUUGGCGAUGUGGUCUCUUAGGAGAGGGAAUUCUAAGUAGUUAAUUAGCUUGUUCCUUUCUACGUUGUAGUCUUGACCAAGGACAAUGUGUUGGCAUUUAAUGCCACUGAAGAUUUAAGAGACUAAGGAAUCAGAUCCUCUGAGAUUCCUAAAUCUGUGUAAUAAAAUGGGUUCUACACAUAGCUAUUCCAAAAAAUUCAGUCAGAUAUUACUAACAAGAUAGACAGAUUAUAAUCUGUAUGAAAUUUCUAGGAGUAAUAAAAAUCAGAAUAGACCCCGUAACCCCGAGUAUGUGUCUAAUUUUCUCAACUAUAAAAUAAUUAAAACUAAAGGCCUUUCUCUUCCUCCCUUGGUGAAUGCCCUUAUGUGAAUUCAGCUGACACACUCAGAAUGACAAAGGAGUUAGAAAUUCACAUCAACAGCAAUUGGUCCCAACUGACUCAAACCAUGAGACUUCUGCCCUGCUAAGAUACCUUGAGCUGAACACUGCCCCGAGAAUGCAACAGAACUUCAGCUCUGUCCCAAGGUCGUCAGCCACAGCUCCAAGUUUCUUAGCAUCAGCUUUUUCUGAACAAAAUAGUGCAUCCUGCUGGAAUCACUACUGUAAACUGAGUAUAAAGGAAAAUAAACCCUCUUUUUCUUAUCCACUAUGUUCCCUACUCCCGUGCUUUUCCCAGUGCUCCAGGUUAGUAGAGGCAAAAGAAUUCCCCACUGAUGAGGUACUACAUCCUACACAAUUUGUUCCACACAUUUUAAUUUCAUUAAGAGAAAACAAAGAUGUUUAAACAGUGAGCACUAAAUGGAUUAGAGUGGCAGUAGUAAAUUUCCUUUGUGCCUUUCUCUUAGAAUUUAGAAAGCUUUAGUUGCAAUCCC